AGCAAUGACAGAUAAAAUCCCAGAGAAAAGAACUCACUGGUCUUGGGGCCAGCAGGAUGGUUCCAAAAGGCCUGAAGCUUUGUAGCAGCCAUUGAAACUAUUGGACAGUUCCCUGACUCUUUGGGUGAUUUCACAAUCUGCGGUCCCCAUGCAAGCAGGAAAACAAAAUAAUGUCUCAUGAGCUUUUCAUCAUAGUUUAACAAUAAAUGCUUCAAGAAAGUAACUAUCAUACUAGUAUUGGGCAUAGGGAAAAUAUAUCAAGAACAUGAUGGUACAGCAGUUUUUGCAGUCUUAAGAGAUAAAUUGCUGAUAUAAUGGUGGCGCCCGAAAAUCAAAAUGUCCAGAAUACAAGAACCCUGGAGUGCCGCAGUUCCAAACUUCCAAUACCCAACGAGUCCCAUCAACAAUGUUUUAUAACAAGCAACAGGGUUUUUCCAAACUCUGUACACGCUAUACAACAAGCAACUUGGAAUUCAGUAGUGGUACAGGGGCGGUCUCAUCACUUUUCCAUGGGCAGAAUUCUAGCUGUAUAAAAGUCAAAGGAACAGCAACUCCGGGAACGAACUGGCACUAACAGAUGGUACUACGGCCUGGGUUAAUUCAGCGAGCAAUACUGCGUAUCCAGGUAUCAGGUGCUGCGGCCGCUUCAGCUAACGGAAAAUGUUAGGGAAAAUAAACAGGGCGCUAGCGCAACGACCUAACCAGAAUCAAAUCCGCCGCCGGCUGCAACGUCCGGAACCCCACCCCACCCCACCCCACCCGCCGGGAACAACCCAGGCCGGGCGGUCCCAGAACGAUCGGCGCAGGCGCCCUCCGCGCCGCGAACCCGGUACGGUAGACCAGAGCUGGAUAUGCGAAGGAAGGGAUAGGAGAGGUGAGGGGGGGCGGGUUACUUUACGCUUGCUUCGCCUCCGGGCUCCGGCGACGGCGGAGGUCAGCGGGGGAGGGGAUGGCUCGGUCGGUCGGCGGCGGCGGUCUCCCUUGGGAACUGAAUCGACCUGCCGCUGGGGUGGGGUUGUUGAGGGUGAU
rnacentral:lncRNA from 1 species